UACCGGCUUUCACUUCCCGCGUACAAAGUUCUGAAACAGAAAUCCCCCCAAUCCCAUCACCAACCCUUGUUUUACCCCCAAAUUCACCCAAUUUUCAACCGUCAUUAUCCGCUGCCGUCAUCAUCGCUCCGUCACGGUUGCGCCCCCGUCGCGCUCUAUUGCUGCCGUAACCCUCGCCGACUUCGAUUCUGACCCCAACCUCAUUGUACAGUCCGCCGUGGUGCUUGGCAACUUCGCCUGUUGCCUUGACGCCGGUGUCCGUGCUGUCCUCGACGCCGGAGCUUUCCCUCACUUGAUCAGGCUCCUCUCUGCCUCCAAUGACAAGGUUGUGGAUGCAACUGCACGUUCUCUACAAAUGAUUUAUCAAUCAAAAUUAUAUUGGCCCCAAAAUAUGACUUUUUCAAGGAAGAGAACUUGGAGUUCCUGCUUUUACUGUUGAAAAGCGAGAAUGAAAAUCUUUCUGCAUUGGGUGCGAGCAUUAUUAUUCAUUCAUGCAAGACAGGUGAAGAACAGAAUAUUUUAUCCUAUGUUGGUGUGUUGGACAAACUCAUCAGCCUUUUGUAUGGUUCUCUAAGCCAGCGAGAUGCUAGUUUGGAGUCCAUAGCUGCGAUUGUUAAAAACAAUUCUGAAGCUGUCUCUAAAUUUGUCGACCUUAGAGGUGGAAGAGCAUUGAGCCCUGUAAUUGAAUUAAGUAAAGACAAAUAUUCUCGGACAAGAUUACUAGCUUGCUUGUGCCUUAUUUGUGUUAAGAAUGCUUCUUCUUGCCAUCUUCAAGACACGGGAAUCAAAACCAAACUGAUAAAUAAUCUGCUUGAAGCUCCAUUUCCAGGUAUGUAAUAAUUUACUUUUGGUUGGGAUUUACAUAGCUGUGACUGAAGAUUAGUUGAAUUUAGAUUAGCCUAUUUUGUUUUGGUAGAUGAAUGUGCAAAUCCAUAUUGGUGUGCUUGUAUAGGUACUUAUUUUGUUACAUUUGGGCAAAUUGGACUCACUUCCUUCAAUGUUUACAUGGUGCUUAGUCUCAUUUCUUAUAGUAUACAGAGGUUUAUCGAUGGUUGUGUAAGAAGCAUUGGAUUGUUAUGGAGAUGGAUUUUUGAAGUAUUCAGGGCUGAAAUUGCCAGAUACAGAAAAAUCAUGGUAUAGUAGAAAUAUCAGCAUUGAAGAUUGUAAGAUGUUGUGUUUGAAGAAUUGUUUAUGUAUGGCUUAUGCAGCUUUGGAUAUAGGUGAAGACACAAGUGGUUGUUUGAUGUGGUUUGGUAUUUAAAUGAUAUUAAAGCCCUGAAUCCAAAUUCUCUUGAAGAUAUUUACUUAAGAAUGGCUGUUACAAAAUUAGGUAAACUAUUCAGAAAAAUAAAUCACAAAAAUCAAAUGUCCGAAAGAAAAAGACUAUCAUCAUAAUUUGUGCGUUAUCUUCUAGUGUUCUAAUCAUAUGCUUGGCUUUCAUCGUCUUUAGAUGGAAGAUGCGAAGGAAAGGUGUAAUAAGUGACCAACAAGAGGAAGAUCCACAAUUGCCUUUGUUUGAUAUGUCCACAAUUUCUUCUGCAACAAAUAAGUUUUCAACCGAUAGCAUUUUGGGAAAAGGUGGCUUUGGUUCGGUAUAUAAGAGCAAGUGGAUAGUAGCUGUUUCUGUUGGUGUUUUCAUUCUUUGGAGCCACGAUAUCGAAAAAGCCUUGUGGAUUUUCGCUUUAUUUUAAAUAUUUUGUGUUAUUAGUGGAUUGUAAUUUAAAUAAAUAUAAGUCCGAAUUUAGUUAU